rnacentral:rRNA from 1 species
ACUCCUACGGGAGGCAGCAGUGGGGAAUAUUGGACAAUGGGCGAAAGCCUGAUCCAGCCAUGCCGCGUGUGUGAUGAAGGCCUUCGGGUUGUAAACCUCUUUCAGUAGGGAAGAAGCGCAAGUGACGGUACCUACAGAAGAAGCACCGGCUAACUACGUGCCAGCAGCCGCGGUAAU